rnacentral:lncRNA from 1 species
AAUUUAAACUGUAUCAUGUGUUUGGCUUGCAUCGCAUUCCAUCGUGUUUCUUAUCAUUUAAAGUGUUGGAUAUGCCACGUCAAUUAAUGAGGCGUGAUCCAACACUCCUGGUUUUUUCUGAUUUUAAUUCUUUUUCUUUUAUUAUUUAAAUUGCUUUUUCUUUAAAAAUUCGUAGUAAUUUUAUUUUUUAUCCAAAAAUUCCCAAAAUAAUUUGUAAAAUAUUCUUU